UUAUAAUUUCAUAUUAUCUUCUACGUUAUGUGAAAUAAAUAGAUCUAUUGGCACAUAUUGAGUUCAACAUGAAUUGGAGCUCUUUGAAAUAUAUAUGCUUUGUUUGGCAAGGAGGAGAUAGAGAUAUCUAAUUUCUUUUACACCUUGUCUUUUUUGUUGUAUCUUUUUAGCAUUUCCCUUAUGAUAUUUGCAUGUCACAGGUUAAGAAGCUUGAAGAGCUUGGGAUUGGAAGACCUUCAACAUAUGCAAGCACAUUAAGAGUUUUACAGGUUUUGUUUUUGCGUGAAAGAAGAAAGGAAGGAGCUCAGGUAUGCUCCAUUUACCUAUGCUCCAUUUACUCCUUUUUAAUAUAUAGAUGUGUGACAUGUGUCAAAAACAAAUCUAAGGGCCAAAAUUAAAACAUAAAACACGCGUUCCAUCUUCCUCCUCCUUCUUCCUCUAAUUGUCGCCGACACCGCCAACUUCGUUCGUCACUGCGCUGGCUGAAUUCAGAUGAGAUUGUUUUGACUCCUUCAAAACUGAUUUGGAUGAAAUCAACCUUCUUGACCCUUAUGAGUUAUGAUCAAUCAUCAAGGUAUUUCCUUAAACGGGUAACACUGCAAGACCUGGUUUUGUAGAUAGUGCUAUCAGGAUGAAAGCUUCAAUGGCAACUAAUACUUAGAAAAAUUCGAUGACCCAGAUCUGAUAUGGAAAAUUCAAUCCAUACGCCACAAAGGAACAUCCUGAAAUAUGAAGUAUGGACAUUAAAAUAGGGUGGCAGAGGUAACACGCCACUGUCAGACGGCGGUGAGACAGUGUGAUGGACUGGUGGUGACGGCGACGAGAGAUGGUGGUGGUGGUGGAGAUCGGCGAACAGUGUUCCAGUCGUGUUUCUAUGAUUUAUUGUUUUAUGUAUGGUUUUAUUCUUUUAAUCUCAACCAUUGAAUUUUCUUAGAACACGUGUCACACAUCAGUAAACCAAAUGGGGAAACUGGACAAUUUUUCUACUGGAGCGUACCCGGACUCGAAAGGAAGGGUUUAAGCGCUGACAUCGGUUCCGAUUCGGAUAGGUUUGAGAGUCGAUUAUGCAAGUGGAAGUAUUAGUACCUCUCACAUUUGUUGUACUCAACAAGAACCUCUAAUUAAUUGUGCAAAAUUUGUUAAUUUCAAACUGUUUAUUUUUUGUUAUCUGAUUCUUUAACCUUGCUACUGUUUUUUUGGUUAUGAGUUUCGAUGGAAAAAUGGUGGUGAUGUUUUGAUGUUGAAAGAUAUGAGAGGUGAAAGAGGAAGAUUAUGUGUUUUUGUUCUGUGUUGUUCA